CAUCUCCUCUCCCCUUACACUGCCCUAGAAGAGAGAGGUCCAUGUUGCCCCCCACUUCAUGGACCGAGAAAUUGAGCCCCACAGAGACAGGCACAUGAUCAAGGCUUCAGAGCUUGACCACUUGGGCUGACUCCCUGUGACUUGGCCCAGGCCACAGGGGGAAGCAGCAGACGGGCCAUCUACUCACAGAAUCUGGUUUUGUGGCUCCACAUGCUGCUUGUACCUGGGUGGGAGCUGGUAGAGUUCACUGCUACCAGAAUGUUCACCCAGGAGGUAGUCAGAAUGCAUUGAAUGGAUGAUUACCUGACUAUGAAGGAAUGAAUUGAUGAUUCAGUCAGUCUGGCAAACUCCAGGGAUGACGAUCACUUUUACCAUUUGGACAUUGCUACCUCCAGUCUUCUGUGUGUGUAUCACUGAAAAACAAACAAAAGAGCAAGAUGAAACUGUGUAUGCAGUUUAACAUGCUGCUAUUUUUUUCUUCAGUAAAAAUGGCAUGAUUACCACAUUUCCAUUACCUUGAUACACUCCUUGACUUUGGAUGGAUGCAUUUCGCUCCACAAGGAGGACUCAAACACAUGCACACCGCACCUGUCCGGGGCGAUUGGUCAUCACAGGCCCGGGUCCACGUCUCAGCUCUGCUUCUUGCUGGCCACGAGGCUGCGUGCUCCUUACUGGCGUCCGCGUGCCUGUCUGUACAGUGCAGGAGCAGGAGCAUCUGCCAACAGAUUUCUUGUGAGAUUCUGGUUCCGAGGCCUCCAGACGGCGUGGGAGCACCGCCUGAGUCCUGCUGCAUUCUCUCUGCUGCAGACGCAAGCCUGGUUCCUGUGUGGGGUCCCUCAGGGGUGGUGUGUGUUUCACAGGGCAGCAGAGAGCCAGGGGGCUGGGGCUGCCCAUGGGGAGUGUGUGAAUCAAAGGAACAGACCGCAGCUGGAGCCACCUCGCCCAGAUUCCUGAACGCAGCCUCUUGACAGACCGAUUGUGUAAUGGCAUUCCUCCCAAGGAAACACGCCUGCCCCCUCCAAGAAGGUGUGAGAGCUUCCCAGACACGGAAAGGGCCCUGCUGGGUAAAUUAAUUCUUCAUUAUUCCGUUCCCGAGGCUCUCCCAUUGGCCGAGUGCCCGGCACCAACAGACGCCUGCCCGCAUGGGGUCAGUCCACACGCAGCUGACGCUGAGGCUCAGGUAGUCUCCUUGGUCCCACCAAGCCGAGGAUGCAUUCAAAUAGAUGCAAAUUUCCAUCCAAUUCCUGUCCGCCCUGCCCGGGAUAAGGGGCCUGCUGUGGCUGUGCAAGCCGGCUUUCUGGUGUCUAAAUACUUCUCUGGUGAGGACACACCUGUUCGCGUCUGCUAGCACACCACAGGUGGGGUUUAUUGUGUGGGGCUGGGAUUUGGCCAGCCAACUUCUGGAAUUCAUUGUUUAUCUCUCCGUCACCAUAACAAAUAACCCCCAGACCUGGAUACACCACCUUCGGCUAAGGCCUCAGUGUGGGGUCAUCAAAAAUGGCAAGCUGGCCAGCCCCGAGGUGAGUGAGGGCCAGCACAGGCCUUGGCCUCUUGGGGUCGGGUAGGGCUGCUACUGGCAGGUGGCGUGAGGUCUCUACCGCCUCCGAAUGACCCGCGCCCCUUCUCCCUUCCUUUCUGUCUCUCCCUUUUUCAUUCAGGAUGGAGGCAGAAGAGUCACCAAGUCUGGAACCCACGGCUGCCGUAGAGGAGGAGCUGGGUCAUGCUUGGCUAGACACCAUAUCGCUCUCAUCCUGUUUUCUCAUUUGUGAAAUGGGAAUGGCGCUCAUGCUUCUCCAUGGGAUGUUGGGAAAGGAACAUGAGGGCAUCCAUGGAAGUGUUUGAGGCAUGCCUGGUCCAGGGGGAACCUCCAGAAAUGACACCUAUGAUCCCCCAGCUGUGUUCCCAUUAAACUAACACUCAUCCGGCCUGGAGCUGGGGUGCAGCGAUGAGUAUGACCUAGUCCGAGCCCCAGGAAUGUGGGCAGUAGGAAGGGCAUGACCAUGAAAGACGUGCUCAGGGGACCCCUUCCAGGUGUCACCAAAGAGCCCUGGGUUGUGGUGUGGGCUGGAGCAGGGCAGGUGGGGG
rnacentral:lncRNA from 1 species